UACGUAGGGGGCGAGCGUUGUCCGGAAUCAUUGGGCGUAAAGCGCGUGUAGGCGGCUCGUUAAGUCCGGUGUGAAAGUCACAGGCUCAACCUGUGAAUGCCGCUGGAAACUGUCUGGCUAGAGUCCGGAAGAGGCGAGUGGAAUUCCUGGUGUAGCGGUGAAAUGCGCAGAUAUCAGGAAGAACACCCGUGGCGAAGGCGGCUCUCUGGGACGGUACUGACGCUGAGACGCGAAAGCGUGGGGAGCGAACAGG
rnacentral:rRNA from 1 species